AGUAAAGUCAGCUAAUUAAGCUUUCGGGCCCAUACCCCGACAAUGUUGGUACACAACCCUUCCUAUACUA
rnacentral:tRNA from 1 species